rnacentral:rRNA from 1 species
GUGGGGAAUAUUGGACAAUGGGCGAAAGCCUGAUCCAGCCAUGCCGCGUGUGUGAAGAAGGUCUUCGGAUUGUAAAGCACUGUAAGUUGGGAGGAAGGGCAGUAAGUUAAUACCUUGCUGUUUUGACGUUACCGACAGAAUAAGCACCGGCUAACUUCGUGCCAGCAGCCGCGGUAAUACGAAGGGUGCAAGCGUUAAUCGGAAUUACUGGGCGUAAAGCGCGCGUAGGUGGUUUUGUAAGUUGGAGGUGAAAUCCCCGGGCUCAACCUGGGAACUGCCUCCAAAACUGCAUGACUAGAGUACGGUAGAGGGUAGUGGAAUUUCCUGUGUAGCGGUGAAAUGCGUAGAUAUAGGAAGGAACACCAGUGGCGAAGGCGACUACCUGGACUGAUACUGACACUGAGGUGCGAAAGCGUGGGGAGCAAACAGGAUUAGAAACCCUGGUAGUCC